UACCACAGCCAUAUCACCCUGCAGCCCAAGACUGGUUGCCCACUGAAGCUAAGCAGGGCUGAGCCUGGUCAGUACCUGGAUGGGAGACCUCUUGGGAAAACUAGGUUGCUGCUGGAA
rnacentral:rRNA from 1 species